rnacentral:rRNA from 1 species
UACAGAGGUCCCAAGCUUUGUUCGGAUUCACUGGGCGUAAAGGGUGCGUAGGUGGCUUGGUAAGUUUGAUGUGAAAUCUCCGGGCUUAACCCGGAAAUGGCAUUGAAUACUAUUGAGCUGGAGGUUUGGAGGGGGGACUGGAAUUCUCGGUGUAGCAGUGAAAUGCGUAGAUAUCGAGAGGAACACCAGUGGCGAAGGCGAGUCCCUGGACAACACCUGACACUGAGGCACGAAAGCUAGGGGAGCAAACAGG